GGCGAGGUCAGGCGAGUUCCCAGGAUGGCGUCCUUCAGGGCUCUGGUGUCAGGCUGCGGGCGUCAGCUGCAAGGGUUCCUGUCAGGCCCCGCCGCGACCGGAUGGUCGUGGCUUCCAGCCCGCGGCUUGAGAGAAGUGGUGGAGAUCCAAGAAGGGAAGACAACUGUGAUUGAAGGCCGAAUCACAGAAACUCCCCAGGCAACUCCAAACCCCCCUAACCCCUCAGGCCAGUGCCCCAUCUGCCGUUGGAACCUGAAGCACAAAUAUAACUAUGAGGAUGUGUUGCUGCUCAGGCAAUUCAUCCGACCUCAUGGAGGCAUGCUGCCCCGGACUGUCACAGGCUUGUGCCUGGAGGAGCACCGAAAGGUCGAGGAGUGUGUGAAGAUGGCGCACCGAGCAGGUCUAUUCCCAGACCACAGGCCACGGCUUCCAGAAGGGUCGUCAGCAAAGAAGAAACCCAUGCUCAACCGCUUGAGGAACCACCGAGUUUAAUUGGGGGUAUUUACAAGAAUCCAGGCAAGUCACGGGCAGCCACUGUAAUGGAAAUGUCCAUCUCCCGGCACCCACCAAGCUCCCACACUUCUUACACUGACAGAACUGCCCACCAUCCAUCACUGAAAUGGGGAUAAAGGAAUUAGAUACUCUUGGCAUUCAUAUGGGUUUUCCACUCCAUGAACGGACUGAUGUCUUUUAAAGGAACUAUGCCGACUAAAGGAUCUGCCACACUGAACACACUGAUACGGUUUCUCUCCAGUGUGUCGUCUUUCAUGUGAUCGAAGGUAAGAGCGAUGUGUGAAAGUUUUACCACAUUCUUUACAUUCAUAGGGUUUCUCUCCAGUGUGGCUUCUUUCAUGAAAUCGAAGAUAAUUGUAACUUGAAAAGGCUUUGCCACAGUGUUUACAUUCGUAGGGUUUCUCUCCGGUGUGCGUUCUCUCGUGCAAUCGAAGCGAAGACUGACAUCUGAAGGCUUUCCCACACAGCUUACACUCAUAGGGCUUUUCUCCUGUGUGCGUUCUCUCGUGCACUUGAAGUAGGGAGGGGUAAAUGAAGGACUUCCCACACUGCUUACACUCAUACAACGUCUCUCCACCAUGAGUGAUUUUAUGUCUAUGAUAGGAAGCCUGACACUUGAAGGCUUUCCCACACUCUUGGCAUUCAUAGGGUUUUUCUCCUGUAUGAAUUUUUUCAUGUAACUUCAGAGAAGUAAGCCACCUAAAGGCUUUCCCACAUUCUUUACACUCAUAGGGCUUUUCUCCAGUAUGAAUUCUUUUAUGUAACUUAAGGGUCCUGUGACUUCUAAAGAAUUUCCCACAUUGUUUGCAUUCAUAGGGCUUUUCUCCAGUGUGAAUCCUUUCAUGUAACUUGAGGGCCCUGCUAUAUCUGAAGGUUUUCCCACAGUUUACACUCACAGGGUCUUUCCUCGGUGUGAAUUCUUUCGUGUAACUGGAGGGCACUGAGAUACGUGAAGGCUCUGCCACACUGCUUACACUCGUAGGGCUUCUCUCCAGUGUGAAUCCUCUCGUGCAAAUGGAGGGCGCUGAGGCCUCUGAAGGCUUUCCCACAGUCUUUACACUCAUAGGGUUUCUCUCCAGUGUGAAUUCUUUCAUGCAAUUGGAGGGCACUGGGAUACCUAAAGGCCUUACCACACUCUUGACAGUUUUUUCCCAGUAUGAUUUUUCUCUUGUUUUUGAAGGGAACUGGAAGUUUUAUCACACUGAUUACCAUCAUCAUCAUUUUCAUCAGUCUGGCUUCCUCCAACUUCCUUGUAGUCAUAGCUGUGAUGUCCAUUGUAAGUCAGGUGAUACAGUCCAAAGGUCUUUAGACACACUUCACACACAGAAGGCCCACUCGAAGUCGGAGUCUCCGUGUGUCCUUCAACCCUUGUAAGAAAAUCAGAGUCCUGUGGCUUCUGUUCAUACGCCUCAUUUUCAUACUGUGUGCAUUCAGAGUGAGAGACGAUGUGCCUUAGAUUUAUUUCAGGUUCUUCAUAAUGUUCUCCAACUGCCUGGUCGUCCCAUUCAUAUCCUAUGGCAGUGAGGUUCCGGCAGGUCUCCAGCAUCACAUCUCCAUAGAGACUCCUCUGAGAAGAAUCCAGCAGAUCCCACUCUUCCUGGGUGAAGUUCACAGCCAGAUCCUCAAAGCUCACCAGAUCCUGAUCCGGCCUGGACAGUCCAACAAUGGCCGUCUCCAUGAUGCAGAGGCUCCAACCUGGUGCCAAAGGCCUGGGGCACACCUGGACAGCUUCUGGUCUCCAGUCCCCAGUGGAGGGUGGCUGUGGCGGUGAUGGCUGUGGCGGCGGCGGCGGGACAGUGGCACCACAAGAUGUGAAGGCGGGCAGGAACGCAGCACUGCUUCUUCUGUGGACUCCUCAGUGCCAAGGCUACUUUCAAAGAGCCACCCGCUAUACAGCAGGCUCUUCUCGCCUGUCAACCCUUCCUGAGCUUCCCAGGCAGACCUCUGAUAAAAGCAGCAAAGGAAAUCCACUGAGCAGUCUUUUCUAGAACUGUUUCUGGGACACCAUUCUUAAGAAAUACUUUGGACAAAGACUGAGAAAAUUUCACAAAAUUAACUCAGAGUUACUCCUGGACCUAAAUGUGACUCGCCAAGUCCAGAACGCCCAGACCCCAGAGCAGAGCGCACAACAGUAAGUGCGACACCCAAUGGCCCCAAUAAAGAGCUGAACAGCCAAUAGCCAGGCAAGAGCAAAAGAACAAGGAGGGGAUGAUGUCAGGACCAGCCACCCAGCCAGCCGCAGAGUAAGAAGGAAAGUCAUACAGAAGUAAGAAAAGGGAAAUGUGCCAGGCGUUGGUGGCACAUGCCUUUAAUCCCAAACUCGGGAGGCAGAAGCAGGCGGAUCUGAGUUCCAGGACAGCCUGGGUUACAGAGCGAGUGCCCGGACAGCCAGGGCUACACAGAGAAAUCCUGUCUCAGAAAAAAAAAAAAAAGGGAAAAUGCCAGAGGUAAAAGAUAGUCGGAUAUUUUAAGUUACAAACAGCUGGCAAGCAUCAAGCCAAGCUAAGACUGGGCAUUCAUAAUAAAGAAUAGGCCUCUGUGUGCGAUUUAUUGGGGAG